AAUUGAUCGUGCUUAAGAGCCUGUGCGGAAAUCCAUCCGGUGAAAAAGGGUCGCUUUAAAAGUUGACCACCAAAUCCACCCAAAAAAGUGUCCUGUCUGCUGAACGUAAACAAUCCUUUUUAUGACCGGGAACAGAAAUCCGUCGUUGCGUUGAAUGUUCAAACCAUUAAAUCCGGAUUGCGGCUGUCCUCGAAGAAAACAGUUCCGGUAGUGUUAAUGAUUCGCUGCACACAGUCGGAGGAAGAGUGUGCUGAUAACAUCCUUUGAGGCAAAUCAUAAUAAAUGUUCGAGCAACAGAAAACAACAGCCACUUCCGGAGCUUCGAAUGUAACGGAGCAUAGUCUGCAAGUCUGACAAAGAAGCCGUCAGCUACUCAAAGUUGAUACAAACGCUCUUUCAAAAAGAUUCAUCAACAUGAAAAUUGAAUCAUCACUCAAAGCCUUAAGAAGUUUGGAAGAAUUCUCGGAUAUAGAAUCGAUUUGAUGAAAAGCAUUGACAAAUCUUCACGAAGCCGUAAUGCAGGAUAUCGGGCCUGGAGGUAUUUUCCAUGUUUUAUAAUUGGAGCGAACAUACAUCAUCAGCCGUGACCACCAGCAGAAGUCCCGGUUGUGGUAAUUGUGAAAAAGCGAUCAAGUGAUAAAAGCCAUGGUAGAAGUAUUAAUCCGUGGUAGAGGCCUGAUGACUGAAUUUGGAUAAGUUUUAGCAACAUCGAAAGGUUCAACCUUAUAGAAGCCAAAAAUGUGUCAGGUUAAUGAAUUAGGAAGCUCUCUACGUUUGCAUGUUUACAAAACAUCACAUCCGGUUACAAUAGUUGUGAUGGCAUCGGAAAUCACGGCCGGUACCGGCUGCAUUUAUUGUUAUUCUAUCGGAAUUUUACCAUGAUAAGGCAUGUGAAAAAUAAGUGUAACUUUAGGUUCAUUACCUUUUAGUCUACUGGUUAAGAGUUUCAAAAAUGUAUUCACGAACAGAAAAAGAAAUAUAAUUUUGGUUUAGAGAGGAAUAAU